CCUACGUGAGGCAGCAGUGGGGGAUAUUGCACAAUGGGGGGAACCCUGAUGCAGCGACGCCGCGUGGGUGAAGAAGCGCCUCGGCGCGUAAAGCCCUGUCAGCAGGGAAGAAAAUGACGGUACCUGAAGAAGAAGCCUCGGCUAACUACGUGCCAGCAGCCGCGGUAAUACGUAGGGGGCAAGCGUUAUCCGGAUUGACUGGGGGGAAAGGGGGCGCAGACGGCGAUGCAAGCCAGGGGUGAAAGCCCGGGGCCCAACCCCGGGACUGCUCUUGGAACUGCGUGGCUGGAGUGCAGGAGGGGCAGGCGGAAUUCCUGGUGUAGCAGUGAAAUGCGUAGAUAUCAGGAGGAACACCGGUGGCGAAGGCGGCCUGCUGGACUGCAACUGACGUUGAGGCCCGAAAGCGUGGGGAGCAAACAGGAUUAGACACCCUGGUAGUC
rnacentral:rRNA from 1 species